UACGAAGGGGGCUAGCGUUGCUCGGAAUUACUGGGCGUAAAGGGCGCGUAGGCGGGUCGUUUAGUUAGAGGUGAAAGCCCAGGGCUCAACCCUGGAAUUGCCUUUAAUACUGGCGGCCUUGAGUAUGGCAGAGGUGUGUGGAACUCCGAGUGUAGAGGUGAAAUUCGUAGAUAUUCGGAAGAACACCAGUGGCGAAGGCGACACACUGGGCCAUUACUGACGCUGAGGCGCGAAAGCGUGGGGAGCGAACGGG
rnacentral:rRNA from 1 species